ensembl:snRNA U6 U6 spliceosomal RNA
AUGCUCACUUUGGCAGCACAUAUACUAAAUUUGAAUAAUAUGGAGAAGAUUAGCACAGCCCCUGAGCAAGAAUAACACGCAAAUUCAUGAAGAAAAAUUUCUAGCU